GUGAGACAUGCCCUCUGUUCUCAGGUCAAUUCUCCCCUGAGGAAACACACUCACUCGAGGGCAUCUUUCUGGGCCCCACUUGCCUCCCUUUUAGAAGCUGGAGGCGACAAGAGCUUGUGUCAGUCUGCUCAGGCUGUGUAACAAAACACCACAGGCCAGGAUGCUUCAAUAUCAGACAGUUGUUUUCUCAGUUCUGCAGGCUAGAAGUCCAAGCUCAAGGUGCCAGAAAAUUUGGUUUCUGAUGAAGACUCUCCUCCUGGCUUGCCAAUGGCUGCCUUCUCACCAUGUCCUCACAUGGCCCUUCUUCUGGCUCUCUCUGGCUCCCGGAACCCAUGAAGCCUGUGCUCAUGCAGCUGGAAGUGCCAGGGAAGAAACGCCCACCCUCCUCAGGUUCAGCCCUCAACCAAUGACUCACAGGAGUUGAGGAAUAAAUGUCCCUCGGGUGGGGACAACUCUGAUGAAUAUCUUCUACAUGGGUUCUCAGAGCUCCCCGGCAGAAUUAAG
rnacentral:lncRNA from 1 species